CAAACACUGGAAAACCAACACACAGAUUGGAGUCAAGGAUCCUUCACUUCUCUGGAAACUUCCGGCUGAGCAGAGUUCAGGGAAACUCUGCACCGAGUUUAUCAUCUUCAAUAAAAGCCGUCAAACUUUU